GGAAAUAAAGUGUUUAAAUACAAAGCAGCUCUCCGUGUUUUGGAACUAGAUCUGCUGCUCCAACACCCCCCAGGACCCUGCAGUCUGUAGAUCCCGAACGAAGAUGUUAACUAAGAAGAGAUCCUGAACCCUGCAACUCCUGCUAGACAUCCCCCCUCAGUAUUUAGUCAUUGAUCAUAUCCUGUUUUGAAGGCUGGAAUACAGCAAGGGCUCCCGGUACCCUGUGCUGUCCUCCAGAGAUGCUACGAGUGGUCUGGUUUCCUGUGCUCCUGGGAUGUGUCACUGCAGGAUCGGAGCCGAGUGACAAAUCAAACAUCCACUCCAGAGCAGGGGAGGACGUCACCC